CCUANGGGUGGCAGCAGUGGGGAAUUUUGGACAAUGGGGGAAACCCUGAUCCAGCCAUUCCGCGUGAGUGAAGAAGGCCUUCGGGUUGUAAAGCUCUUUCGGCAGGAACGAAACGGUGGAAUCUAAUACAUUCCAUUAAUGACGGUACCUGAAGAAGAAGCACCGGCUAACUACGUGCCAGCAGCCGCGGUAAUACGUAGGGUGCGAGCGUUAAUCGGAAUUACUGGGCGUAAAGCGUGCGCAGGCGGUGACUCAAGUCAGAUGUGAAAGCCCCGGGCUUAACCUGGGAACGGCAUUUGAAACUAGGUCGCUAGAGUGUAGCAGAGGGGGGUAGAAUUCCACGUGUAGCAGUGAAAUGCGUAGAGAUGUGGAGGAAUACCGAUGGCGAAGGCAGCCCUCUGGGUUAACACUGACGCUCAUGCACGAAAGCGUGGGGAGCAAACAGGAUUAGAUACCCUANUANUC
rnacentral:rRNA from 1 species